rnacentral:lncRNA from 1 species
AUGGAUAAUAAGAUCAUGAGUGUAGCAUUUAAAACAUUCGUCAAAUCAGAUCACUCAACCUAAUGGAAAGAUAGUCUAUAUGUACUUAUCUCUUUUUUUAUAUAUAUCUUCCAAAGAUUGUGUGUGCAACAUUUAGUGUGGGAUCACAAAGGUGAAAGGACUAAACAUAUUGAAUCGAUUGGGUUGGUUAAUCUAGAAUUGUAAAUCAUACAUGUUUGUCUCUUUUAUUCAUGUGAAUGCCAGAACCAAGGAGAAGCUUAUAGAAGUGAUAGUCAAGUACCUUAAGAUGUUACCUUACUUGAAGAUUGAUGGUACAGUAUCACCUUGUGGAAGCUUUCCUCUCUUAGCGGUUGUGCAUCGUGUUU